GGAAAAUAUUCUGUUCCGUUGUAUAACCCACUAGAGAUAGACAUCAGUUCUUCAUAGUCUUCUGCCGUUGCAGGCGAAAAAUCUAUUUUUGGAACUGAAGUCGGAACAGACAUGGUGUCACUGCGCGAUAUAGACCAGAGUCUCAGCUGAAAGGAGAAGAGAAGAAGUUUAAUCAGGCAAAGUCUACCAUCAUUCUUGAGAUUGAUAGGG